AUUGAACGCUGGCGGCAGGCUUAACACAUGCAAGUCGAGCGGGGUGAUGGUGCUUGCACUAUCGCUUAGCGGCGGACGGGUGAGUAAUGCUUAGGAAUCUGCCUAUUAGUGGGGGAUAACAUCUCGAAAGGGAUGCUAAUACCGCAUACGUCCUACGGGAGAAAGCAGGGGAUCACUUGUGACCUUGCGCUAAUAGAUGAGCCUAAGUCGGAUUAGCUAGUUGGUGGGGUAAAGGCCUACCAAGGCGACGAUCUGUAGCGGGUCUGAGAGGAUGAUCCGCCACACUGGGACUGAGACACGGCCCAGACUCCUACGGGAGGCAGCAGUGGGGAAUAUUGGACAAUGGGGGGAACCCUGAUCCAGCCAUGCCGCGUGUGUGAAGAAGGCCUUAUGGUUGUAAAGCACUUUAAGCGAGGAGGAGGCUCUUUUGGUUAAUACCCAAGAUGAGUGGACGUUACUCGCAGAAUAAGCACCGACUAACUCUGUGCCAGCCGCCGCGGUAA
rnacentral:rRNA from 1 species